rnacentral:rRNA from 1 species
GACGAACGCUGGCGGCGUGCCUAACACAUGCAAGUCGAACGGAACUGUUUUGAAAGAUUUCUUCGGAAUGAAUUUGAUUUAGUUUAGUGGCGGACGGGUGAGUAACGCGUGAGUAACCUGCCUUCAAGAGGGGAAUAACAUUCUGAAAAGAAUGCUAAUACCGCAUGACAUAUCGGAACCACAUGGUUUUGAUAUCAAGGAUUUUAUCGCUUGAAGAUGGACUCGCGUCCGAUUAGUUAGUUGGUGAGGUAACGGCUCACCAAGACCGCGAUCGGUAGCCGGACUGAGGGUUUGAACGGCCACAUUGGGACUGAGACCCGGCCAAGACUCCUAGGGGGGGCAGCAGGGGGGGAUAUUGCGAAAUGGGGGAAACCCGGACGCAACAACGCCGCGUGAAGGAUAAAGGUUUUCGGAUUGUAAACUUCUUUUAUUAAGGACGAAAAAUGGCGGUACUAAAGGAAUAAGCCCCGGCUAACUACGU